CCUACGGGCGGCUGCAGUGGGGGAUAUUGCACAAUGGGGGAAACCCUGAUGCAGCGACGCCGCGUGUGGGAAGACGGUCCUCUGGAUUGUAAACCACUGUCCCCAGGGACGAAGAUGACGGUACCUGGGGAGGAAGCUCCGGCUAACUACGUGCCAGCAGCCGCGGUAAUACGUAGGGAGCGAGCGUUGUCCGGAAUUACUGGGUGUAAAGGGAGCGUAGGCGGGACUGCAAGUUGGGUGUCAAAUCUACCGGCUCAACCGGUAGCCGCACUCAAAACUGCAGUUCUUGAGUGAAGUAGAGGCAGGCGGAAUUCCUAGUGUAGCGGUGAAAUGCGUAGAUAUUAGGAGGAACACCAGUGGCGAAGGCGGCAUGCUGGGCUUUUACUGACGCUGAGGCUCGAAAGUGUGGGGAGCAAACAGGAUUAGAUACCCCUGUAGUC
rnacentral:rRNA from 1 species